AUUGAACGCUGGCGGCAUGCUUUAUACAUGCAAGUCGUGCGGCAGCGCGGGGGCAACUCUGGCGGCGAGCGGCGAACGGGUGAGUAAUACAUAGGAACGUAUCCUGAAAUGGGGGAUAGCUCGGCGAAAGCCGGAUUAAUACCGCAUACGCUCCACGGAGGAAAGCAGGGGAUCGCAAGACCUUGCGUUUCUGGAGCGGCCUAUGUCUGAUUAGCAGUUGGCGGGGUAAUAGCCCACCAAGGCGACGAUCAGUAGCUGGUCUGAGAGGAUGAUCAGCCACACUGGGACUGAGACACGGCCCAGACUCCUACGGGAGGCAGCAGUAGGGAAUUUUGGACAAUGGGGCAACCCUGAUCCAGCCAUGCCGCGUGAGUGAAGAAGGCCU
rnacentral:rRNA from 1 species